GCCCCAGGACCGCGAGACUAUCCGCACAGCUUCUCUUUAGGCCCCACAGCCAGAACUCCAAAUUGCCUAGUCUCAACCCAUGCACUCUCUAAUCCGGGGCCACACGCCGGGCCUUCCCCACCACCUCAUCUGCUUGGGAACGUAAAGGGUUCUGUGGGGCAGCUGCAGCUUUUGUGCCCAUCUGUCUCCAGAGCUUCCCAUCUCUGGAACGCGGGAGGGAACAGAGCUCUAGCCUGAAUAACUGAGCCCGGCCCGGCAGUUCCCGAGAUUCACCAGAGAAUAAGCCUGAUGGGAAGUCUGGAGAUAACAGGACACCCAACCAGCAGGUCCCGGUGUGGUUCCGCUCCCGUGUUCUCAUUAUUCAGCUCCCACUUGAAUUCACAAGCCCAGACAGAAAUCAAGAAGAGAGAAAGUAGCUGCACAUCAUGAUGAAAGGAAUUUUUACAGAAAAUGAAGGAAUUAUUAAUGGCCAUCUUUGCAGAGAAUCUUCGACGGGCACUGAGAUGGUUAAUUUUGUGUGUGAACUUGACUAAGCACGGGAUGCUCAAAUAGCUGGGACCUCCUGAUUCUUAGGCCUUCAGACACAGACUGGAAUCUACAGCAUUGGCUCUCGGGCUAUCCAACCUUCAGACUACAUGACCAGCUUUCCUGGGUCUCCAGUUUGCAAUCAACCUACCCUGGAACUUUUCAGCCUCCAUCAUCGCCUGAGCCAAUACUUUAUAAUAAAUAUGUAUCUUCUUCUUGGUGCUGUUUCUCUAGAGAACCCUAACUAGCAUAGGCACCAAACACCCAUUUUAAUAAUCCACUUGUCUUCAGAUCACAGCAAUAUCUACUCAAGAGAUACAGACUCCAUUGAUUUCUGGCCACAGGAGGGCAGAAGAGUCAAUAGGUAUUCUUUGGCCUUCCUCCCAGGAGGGAGGUGUCAAAGAAAUUCAGAGUGAUCUGUAUGGCCCUAUCUGAUCUUUGGAAUCAUUUAUUUCUACAGGCUGUUUGCUUUUAAGGUAUCAAUAGCUGUCAAAAUCCCUCUUCUUUGCCAUCAUAAAAUCCCAAACUAGGGUUGAAAUAUUAGCAAAGAGAAUAUAUGUUUAAGAAAUUGUUUCUGAUACUGAUGACCCUGUUGUUAUAUAUCCCAAGUGAUACACAAAGAACUGAUUUUCAAGAUGUGACAACAUUUAGGUCUCACUUAUAAGUGAAGCUCUCCUUAGGACCAUACUGUAUGGACUAACACUUUAUUAUUAGAAGGAGAAAUGGUAGCAGUGAGAAUUUCUUCAUAUUUGUAAUUUUUUAAAAUUUCAACCAUGCAUAUUAAAUGUAACUUUAAUCAGAGUUAAAACCAUUUCACAUGAUGAUCUUAAUUUACAAGUCAAUAAAACUACAAAUAUGAAGGAAUAUUUGCAAUAACAGAGAUUAAAAGCAAUUAAUUUAUUUGAAAGUCAAUGAACAAUUUUUUUUUUCUUUUUUGGAGAUGGACUCUCACUCUGUUA